UACGAAGGGGGCUAGCGUUGUUCGGAAUCACUGGGCGUAAAGCGCACGUAGGCGGAUGUGCCAGUCAGGGGUGAAAUCCCGGAGCUCAACUCCGGAACUGCCUCUGAUACAGCACGUCUUGAGUUCGAGAGAGGUGGGUGGAAUUCCUAGUGUAGAGGUGAAAUUCGUAGAUAUUAGGAAGAACACCGGUGGCGAAGGCGGCAACCUGGUCCUUGACUGACGCUGAGGCGCGAAAGCGUGGGGAGCAAACAGG
rnacentral:rRNA from 1 species